rnacentral:snRNA from 1 species
GUGCUCGCUUUGGCAGCACAUGUAAUAAAAUUGGAACGAUACAGAGAAGAUUAGCAUGGCCCCUGAGCAAGGAUGACAUGCAAAUUCAUGAAGCACUCCACAUUGUU